GGGUUGUGAGGUUAAGCGACUAAGCGUACACGGUGGAUGCCCUGGCAGUCAGAGGCGAUGAAGGACGUGCUAAUCUGCGAUAAGCGUCGGUAAGGUGAUAUGAACCGUUAUAACCGGCGAUUUCCGAAUGGGGAAACCCAGUGUGAUUCGUCACACUAUCAUUAACUGAAUCCAUAGGUUAAUGAGGCGAACCGGGGGAACUGAAACAUCUAAGUACCCCGAGGAAAAGAAAUCAACCGAGAUUCCCCCAGUAGCGGCGAGCGAACGGGGAGCAGCCCAGAGCCUGAAUCAGUGUGUGUGUUAGUGGAAGCGUCUGGAAAGGCGUGCGAUACAGGGUGACAGCCCCGUACACAAAAAUGCACAUAUUGUGAGCUCGAUGAGUAGGGCGGGACACGUGGUAUCCUGUCUGAAUAUGGGGGGACCAUCCUCCAAGGCUAAAUACUCCUGACUGACCGAUAGUGAACCAGUACCGUGAGGGAAAGGCGAAAAGAACCCCGGCGAGGGGAGUGAAAAAGAACCUGAAACCGUGUACGUACAAGCAGUGGGAGCACGCUUAGGCGUGUGACUGCGUACCUUUUGUAUAAUGGGUCAGCGACUUAUAUUCUGUAGCAAGGUUAACCGAAUAGGGGAGCCGAAGGGAAACCGAGUCUUAACUGGGCGUUAAGUUGCAGGGUAUAGACCCGAAACCCGGUGAUCUAGCCAUGGGCAGGUUGAAGGUUGGGUAACACUAACUGGAGGACCGAACCGACUAAUGUUGAAAAAUUAGCGGAUGACUUGUGGCUGGGGGUGAAAGGCCAAUCAAACCGGGAGAUAGCUGGUUCUCCCCGAAAGCUAUUUAGGUAGCGCCUCGUGAAUUCAUCUCCGGGGGUAGAGCACUGUUUCGGCAAGGGGGUCAUCCCGACUUACCAACCCGAUGCAAACUGCGAAUACCGGAGAAUGUUAUCACGGGAGACACACGGCGGGUGCUAACGUCCGUCGUGAAGAGGGAAACAACCCAGACCGCCAGCUAAGGUCCCAAAGUCAUGGUUAAGUGGGAAACGAUGUGGGAAGGCCCAGACAGCCAGGAUGUUGGCUUAGAAGCAGCCAUCAUUUAAAGAAAGCGUAAUAGCUCACUGGUCGAGUCGGCCUGCGCGGAAGAUGUAACGGGGCUAAACCAUGCACCGAAGCUGCGGCAGCGACACUAUGUGUUGUUGGGUAGGGGAGCGUUCUGUAAGCCUGUGAAGGUGUACUGUGAGGUAUGCUGGAGGUAUCAGAAGUGCGAAUGCUGACAUAAGUAACGAUAAAGCGGGUGAAAAGCCCGCUCGCCGGAAGACCAAGGGUUCCUGUCCAACGUUAAUCGGGGCAGGGUGAGUCGACCCCUAAGGCGAGGCCGAAAGGCGUAGUCGAUGGGAAACAGGUUAAUAUUCCUGUACUUGGUGUUACUGCGAAGGGGGGACGGAGAAGGCUAUGUUGGCCGGGCGACGGUUGUCCCGGUUUAAGCGUGUAGGCUGGUUUUCCAGGCAAAUCCGGAAAACUAAGGCUGAGGCGUGAUGACGAGGCACUACGGUGCUGAAGCAACAAAUGCCCUGCUUCCAGGAAAAGCCUCUAAGCAUCAGGUAACAUCAAAUCGUACCCCAAACCGACACAGGUGGUCAGGUAGAGAAUACCAAGGCGCUUGAGAGAACUCGGGUGAAGGAACUAGGCAAAAUGGUGCCGUAACUUCGGGAGAAGGCACGCUGAUAUGUAGGUGAAGUCCCUCGCGGAUGGAGCUGAAAUCAGUCGAAGAUACCAGCUGGCUGCAACUGUUUAUUAAAAACACAGCACUGUGCAAACACGAAAGUGGACGUAUACGGUGUGACGCCUGCCCGGUGCCGGAAGGUUAAUUGAUGGGGUCAGCGCAAGCGAAGCUCUUGAUCGAAGCCCCGGUAAACGGCGGCCGUAACUAUAACGGUCCUAAGGUAGCGAAAUUCCUUGUCGGGUAAGUUCCGACCUGCACGAAUGGCGUAAUGAUGGCCAGGCUGUCUCCACCCGAGACUCAGUGAAAUUGAACUCGCUGUGAAGAUGCAGUGUACCCGCGGCAAGACGGAAAGACCCCGUGAACCUUUACUAUAGCUUGACACUGAACAUUGAGCCUUGAUGUGUAGGAUAGGUGGGAGGCUUUGAAGUGUGGACGCCAGUCUGCAUGGAGCCGACCUUGAAAUACCACCCUUUAAUGUUUGAUGUUCUAACGUUGACCCGUAAUCCGGGUUGCGGACAGUGUCUGGUGGGUAGUUUGACUGGGGCGGUCUCCUCCUAAAGAGUAACGGAGGAGCACGAAGGUUGGCUAAUCCUGGUCGGACAUCAGGAGGUUAGUGCAAUGGCAUAAGCCAGCUUGACUGCGAGCGUGACGGCGCGAGCAGGUGCGAAAGCAGGUCAUAGUGAUCCGGUGGUUCUGAAUGGAAGGGCCAUCGCUCAACGGAUAAAAGGUACUCCGGGGAUAACAGGCUGAUACCGCCCAAGAGUUCAUAUCGACGGCGGUGUUUGGCACCUCGAUGUCGGCUCAUCACAUCCUGGGGCUGAAGUAGGUCCCAAGGGUAUGGCUGUUCGCCAUUUAAAGUGGUACGCGAGCUGGGUUUAGAACGUCGUGAGACAGUUCGGUCCCUAUCUGCCGUGGGCGCUGGAGAACUGAGGGGGGCUGCUCCUAGUACGAGAGGACCGGAGUGGACGCAUCACUGGUGUUCGGGUUGUCAUGCCAAUGGCACUGCCCGGUAGCUAAAUGCGGAAGAGAUAAGUGCUGAAAGCAUCUAAGCACGAAACUUGCCCCGAGAUGAGUUCUCCCUGACUCCUUGAGAGUCCUGAAGGAACGUUGAAGACGACGACGUUGAUAGGCCGGGUGUGUAAGCGCAGCGAUGCGUUGAGCUAACCGGUACUAAUGAACCGUGAGGCUUAACCUUACAACGCCGAAGGUGUUU
rnacentral:rRNA from 1 species